UUUUGUGGGAAUAAAUACCACAAAGGCAUCAGAUCCUGUCUGCAUUUGGAAGAUAAGUAGGGUCAGCCCUGGUUAGUACUUGGAUGGGAGACUGCUGAUGAAUGCUAGGUGCAGUAGGCU
rnacentral:rRNA from 11 species